rnacentral:rRNA from 1 species
CAUGWCAAGUCGAGGGGCAGCACAUGAGUAGCAAYACGAUGGUGGCGACCGGCGCACGGGCGAGUAACACGUAUGCAACCUGCCUGUAAGAGGGGAACAACCCGGAGAAAUUCGGACUAAUACCGCAUAAUACCACGAGACUGCAUGGUUUUGUGGUUAAACAUUUAUGGCUUACAGAUGGGCAUGCGUAUGAUUAGAUAGUUGGUAGGGUAACGGCCUACCAAGUCUACGAUCAUUAGGGGUUCUGAGAGGAAGGUCCCCCACACUGGUACUGAGACACGGACCAGACUCCUACGGGAGGCAGCAGUGAGGAAUAUUGGUCAAUGGGCGAGAGCCUGAACCAGCCAAGUCGCGUGAAGGAAGAAGGUUCUAUGGAUUGUAAACUUCUUUUGCAGGGGAAUAAAGGACGGUACGUGUACUGUUUUGUAUGUACCUUGCGAAUAAGGAUCGGCUAACUCCGUGCCAGCAGCCGCGGUAAUACGGAGGAUCCGAGCGUUAUCCGGAUUUAUUGGGUUUAAAGGGUGCGUAGGUGGAUUGUUAAGUCAGUGGUGAAAGUUUUCAKCUCAACUGAAAAAUUGCCGUUGAAACUGUCGAUCUUGAGUGCAAAUGAGGUAGGCGGAAUGUGUUGUGUAGCGGUGAAAUGCUUAGAUAUAAACACAGAACUCCGAUUGCGAAGGCAGCUUACUGUGAUGCAACUGACACUGAUGCACGAAAGCGUGGRGUAUCAAACAGGAUUAGAUACCCUGGUASUCCCACGCAGUAAUCGAUGAMUACUAGCUGUAUGCSAUACACYGUAUGUGGCACAGCCKAAMGCCGUUAAGUUAUUCCMMCCUGGG